rnacentral:rRNA from 1 species
AUUGAACGCUGGCGGCAGGCCUACCACAUGCAAGUCGAACCCAUGGCGGACGGGUGAGUCAUGUCUGGUAAACUGCCCGCUGGAGGGGGAUAACUACUGGAAACGGUAGCUACUACACCAUCCCAUCGGAUGUGCCCAGAUGGGAUUAGCUAGUAGGUGGGGUAAAGGCUCACCUAGGCGACGAUCCCUAGCUGGUCUGAGAGGAUGACCAGCCACACUGGAACUGAGACACGGUCCAGAAUCCUACGGGAGGCAGCAGUGGGGAAGAUUGCACAAUGGGCGAAAGCCUGAUGCAGCCAUGCCGCGUGGAUGAAGAAGGCCUUCGGGUGGUAAAGUACUUUCAGCGAGGAGGCGUUACUCGCAGAAGAAGCACCGGCUAACUCCGUGCCAGCAGCCGCGGUAAUAC